AUUGAACGCUGGCGGCAUGCCUUACACAUGCAAGUCGAACGGCAGCACGGGUGCUUGCACCUGGUGGCGAGUGGCGAACGGGUGAGUAAUAUAUCGGAACAUACCCUAGAGUGGGGGAUAACGUAGCGAAAGUUACGCUAAUACCGCAUACGAACUAAGGUUGAAAGUGGGGGAUCGCAAGACCUCAUGCUCAUGGAGUGGCCGAUAUCUGAUUAGCUAGUUGGUGAGGUAAAGGCUCACCAAGGCGACGAUCAGUAGCUGGUUUGAGAGAACGACCAGCCACACUGGAACUGAGACACGGUCCAGACUCCUACGGGAGGCAGCAGUGGGGAAUUUUGGACAAUGGGCGCAAGCCUGAUCCAGCAAUGCCGCGUGCAGGAUGAAGGCCUUCGGUUGGUAACGUAGCUUUUGUUACGGUAACGAACGGUAGAG
rnacentral:rRNA from 1 species